rnacentral:lncRNA from 1 species
CAGCACAGAUGUUGCCAACAGCUUCAGGUUCCAGAAAGGCCCUGAGAGCCAGAAGACACCGAUGACAAUGGAAUCCACCCAACCAGAUGUGAGAUUGAAACCCAGAAGUACAUCCCCAAACUUAGUGAGAGGACCAGGAGUUGAACCCAGGGCUGAAGGAUUCAAACUCUUUACUCAUUUCUACCAUGCUGCCUCAGUAUUACGAAAAUGUCAAAACACUAAGGUGAUGUCCAGCAUCAAAACACAGUUGGUCAUAACUGAUAAAAGGUUAUGUCUUGAUUGAACAAGCUUCCAGGAGUUGGAAGGCCAAAAGGGCUGCUGUAAAACAGCAAUGGAGAUGCUAAUAAAACCCAAGGUAA